UUGCUCUGACAGCUGAUGGUUAAAGUUAGUGAGGGAGAAAUAAGUCUCCAGCUUCAGUGAUUUUUGCAAUUCUUUCCAGUCAUUGGCAGCAGAGAACCGGAAGGAACGGCAGCCAAAGGAGGAUUUGACUGUGGGGGUGACCCAAGGAUGGACCUGUUUCUGAGGACAAGAGAUGAACGAGUAGGUGGCAGGAAAGAUGAAGACCGAUGAGGCAGGAGGAGAGCAGAGAGAGGAGACAACAGGAGAGAUGCUGAGAGAGGAGGCAGGAGGAGAGCAGAGAGAUGUGGCGAACAUUGAAGAGAUGCAGGAGGAGUGAAACGGAGAGGAGGUGGGAGGCGAGAGUCAGACAGAGGAGGCGGAGAGCCCAGGAGCAGAGCAGAGAGAGGAGGGGGGUGGAAAUCAGUGGCAGGACAGGAGGUUAAGGAAGAUAAGUCAAGAGAGGACCACAGGGUUUCCAAGUAAGAAAUACACUAUGUACUUCAUAACACAAAGUAAAAAUGAUGUUUAAGUGCCUCAAACUAUUUUUGGAUAACAAUUUGGCAAGUCAUUUGUGAAUGGGGGUCUACUUUUAGAAGAUCAGCCAGCAAUAAUUGUCAGAAGACAAUGGGGUGAGAAUCAAUCGGAAUUGGGCAGCAGCCAUCCUUUCGAGCAUUCUCUUCUUAACACCUAACUAGUUGCUCAGCCAACUAUGGGUACUUAAUCUAUUGUCACUCUAUCGAUUGUCCCUAAUAUUCAGGAGAAAAUAUCAAUUUUGAAACAUCAUGUAUCAAACAGGUAUGAUACACUUAUGUGUAUUGACUGCUGUAUUAAUUAAGUGUCUGAAGUUAUCUUUUGUUUUAGCUUAAACAUAUCUUAAAGGGUUUUUAACUUAUAGGUGAAUAUGCAAAUAUUUUGUUGCUCUGUCACUGCCUUUAUAGGUAGAUUCAGCUCGAUGACAUAGAUGCACAAAGUGAACAGCAGAAGUAGGUCAAUUUCCAUAGAAACUAAGAGUGUUGAAGCACAAGGCUUAACUUCUCUGCUGUUUUGGUCCCGUAACUACCACGUUGUAGCCACGUGAAGCUAACCGGUGCACAUGCUCGGAUCCUUCGUGCGACCGUGUGAAUGCAAAGUCUUGCAUCGCGAUCUGCAGUACUGGUCAUGGCAACUCCAUAACACUAAGUCUACCUUUAAUUAUUCAAUGUAGAGUUAUCAGCAAGUGAUAUACUGUAUAUUCUGUGCCACUGAUAUGCACACUAUGGUUAUGGGGUGGGAGAAUUAUAUCUGAUUUAUCCCAAAGAUGUAUUGUGCCAAACUCUGAGCUACAAAAAACAAAAAAGUACAUUUUGUGUGAGAAAAAGGGCCCAUCUCGCCUGCCUGGAGUUGAGGCACUUGGCGCUGCGGAGACAUUCCAGGUUUUUAUGGUCUAUCCACACAAAGAAUGGAUGUUUCCGCCCCUAACCAGUGCCUCUACUCCAACGCCAUCUUAACAGUGAGUAAUUCUCGAUAUCCCACGUUAUAGUUCCUCUCAGCGGGGUUAAGACAAUGGGAAGGGAAGGCGCAGGGAUCCAGCUUCUGGUCCUGGGCAGAACACUGGGACAGGACAGCCCUCACUCCGAAGUCCGAGGCGUCGAACUCCACCAUGAACUGACGGGACGAGUCUGAAUGGAUUAAGAUUGGGGCUGUAGUGAAUCGUUGCUUGAGGUCUGAGAACGCCAGGGCAGCUGCUGGAGACCAUAUGAACGGAACCUUGGGAGAGGUGAGUGCAGAGAGGGGUGAAGAAAGGGUGCUGUAACCCCAGACGAAAUGACGGUAGAAAUGAGCAAACCCCAGGAAACAUUGCAGGUGCACUCUGGAUGUGGGUUGAGGCCAAUCCACCACUGCUCUCACCUUGUCAGGGUCCAUGUGAAUAUUCCCUGCAGCGAUGACGUAUCCUAGGAAGGAGGGGGUGGAGCGAUGGAACUCACUUCUCCACCUCCACGAAAAGCUGGUUCUCCAGGAGACGCUGGAGGACCUGUCGGACAUGGAGAACGUGAUCUUGAGCUGACUAUGAAUAAAUUAGGAUGUCGUCAAGGUAGACAAUUAAAAAUCGGUUCAGCAUGUCACAGAGCACAUCAUUGUCCAGGGCCUGGAACACUGCAUGAGCGUUGGUAAGUCCGAACGGCAUCACCAGGUAUCGUAGUGCCCGUAAGCCGUGUUAAAUAAUGUUUUCCACUCGUCUCCUUCCCGUAUCCGAACCAGAUGGUAGGCGUUUCAAAGGUCCAACUUGGAGAAGAUGACCGCCCCAUGGUGAGGCUUGAAAGCUGAGGAGAUGAGUGGUAGCAGGUAACGUUUUUUUAAACUAAUACCAUUAAGACCCUGGUAGUCGAUACACGGACGCAGGGUCUUGUCCUUGUUCUCCACAAAGAAGGCCCCUGCGCCGGCGGGGGAAGAAGAUGGAUGCUAAAUCCCUGCAGCCAGAGGGUCCUCAAUAUACCCAUGCAUCACUUUGAUUUUCGUCCCGACAGGGAAUAAAGUCGCCCCCAAGGUGGUGUGGUGCCCGGGAGAAGGUCGAUAAUACAGUUGUAGGGCUGAUGUUGAGGAAGAGUUGAAAACCUCCCGUAAGUCCUGGUACUCCGCGGGAACUUCAGAGUGAUCCGAGGCUUUACCCACGCCAGCAGUGAGAAGUCCCGGGGCAGGCUGCGCCGACUUCAGACAAUGUGCGUGGCAAAAUGGACUCCAACCCAUGUUGGAACCCAUAGCCCAGUCGAUUAGGGGAUUGUGCCUUUGGAUCCAUGAAUACCUCAAAACCAUGGGUACACGAGGAGACUCCAGGAGCAGAAACCGCAAAAACUCACUGUGGUUGCCGGAAACUCACAGAUAGAUAGGAACCGUAUUGUGGGUGACUCUGCCAAUACAUCGUCUAUACAGUGCUCUGACGUUCAUCAGGAUGGAAAGGGGUUGAGUGGAGAUACCCAGCUCUGACACCAGAGUAGUGUCCAUAAAGCUCUUGUCGGCCCGAGUCAAUGAGCACCCAGAUGGAUUUUGACUGGCCUACCCACAAAAGGGUAGCAUAGAGGCGGUUAUGAGUAGUGAGAGAUUGAAAACUCCCUGUAUGGCUCACCAGUGUACUCGUACCUAAUGAUCAGCGUCUUUUAAUGGGCAGGUAGAGUUGAAGUCGGAAGUUUACAUACACUUAGGUUGGAGUCAUUAAAACUUGUUUUUCAACCACUCCACAAUUUUUUUGUAAACAAACUAUAGUUUUGGCAAGUCGGUUAGGACAUCUACUUUGUGCAUGACCCAAGUAAUCUUUCCAACAAUUGUUUACAGACAGUGAAUUAUAAGUGAAAUAAUCUGGAUCACAAUUCCAGUGGGUCAGAAGUUUACAUACACUAAGUUGACUGUGCCUUUAAAUAGCUUGGAAAAUUCCAGAAAAUUAUGUCAUGGCUUUAGAAGCUUCGGAUAGGCUAAUUGACAUCGUUUGAGUCAAUUGGAGGUGUACCUGUGGAUGUUUUUCAAGGCCUACCUUCAAACCCAGUGCCUCUUUGCUUGACAUCAUGGGAAAAUCCAAAGAAAUCAGCCAAGACCUCAGAAGAAAAAUUUUAGACCUCCACAAGUCUGGUUCAUCCUUGGGAGCAAUUUCCAAACACCUGAAGGUACCACGUUCAUCUGUACAAACAAUAGUACGCAAGUAUAAACACCAUGGGAUCACACAGCCGUCAUGCCGCUCAGGAUGGAGAUGAAUGUACUUUGGUGCGAAAAGUGCAAAUCAAUCCCAGAACAACAACAAAGGACCUUGUGAAGAUGCUGGAGGAAACAGGUACAAAAUUAUAUAUAUAUAUAUAUCCACAGAGAAACUAGUCCUAUAUCGACAUAACCUGAAAGGCCCCUCAGCAAGGAAGAAGCCACUGCUCCAAAACCGCCAUAUAAAAGCCAGUCUACAGUUUGCAACUGCACAUGGGGACAAAGAUCGUACUUUCUGGAGAAAUGUCCUCUGGCCUGUUUAAACAAAAAUAGAACUGUUUGGCCAUAAUGAUGGGGGAAGGUGGAUGCUUGCAAGCCGAAGUACACCAUCCCAACCGUGAAGCACAGGGGUGGCAGCAUCAUGUUGUCUGGGUGCCUUGCUGCAGGAAGGACUGGUGCCCUUCACAAACUAGAUGGCAUCAUGAGGAACGGAAAAAUAUGUGGAUAUAUUGAAGCAACCAACAUCUCAAGACAUCAAUCAGGAAGUUAAAGCUUGGUCGCAAAUGGGUCUUCCAAAUGGACAAUGACGCCAAGCAUACUUCCAAAGUUAUGGCUCAAGGACAACAAAGUCAAGAUAUUCGAGUGGCCAUCACAAAGCCCUGACCUCAAUCCUAUAGAAAAUGUGUGGGCAGAACUGAAAAGGCGUGUGCGAGCAAGGAGACCUACAAACCUGACUCAGUUACACCAGCUCUGUCAGGAGGCAUGGGCCAAAAUUCACCCAACUUAUUGUGGGAAGCUUGUGGAAGGCUACCCGAAACGUUUGACCCAAGUUAAACAAUUUAAAGGUAAUGCUACCACAUACAAAUUGAGUGUAUGUAAACUUCUGACCCACUGGGAAUGUGAUGAAAGAAAUAAAAGCUGAAAUAAAUCAUUCUCUCUCCUAUUAUUUUGACAUUUCACAUUCUUAAAAUAAAGUGGUGAUCCUAACUGACCUAAGACACGGAAUUUUUACUCAGAUUAAAUGUCAGGAAUUGUGAAAAACUGAGUUUAAAUGUAUUUGGCUAAGGGUUAUGUAAAUGUCCGACUUCAACUGUAGAUAAGAAAUGUCCCGUAGCUAGACAAUACAGACAGCUCUUGGUGUUAAGUCUGCGUAAGCGCUCAGCAGGAGACAAUGUAGCCCUGCCCAGUUGCAUGGGCUCUGGAGGAGAUAUGUCGACAGCCCUAGUGAUCGGAUCCACUCGGAAAUGUGGACUUCGGGGAUUUCCGGGAUUCCCUGGAAGCGAGGUGGAAAUUGAGGACGAGCGAGGGCAUCAGGGAACACACUCCCUCUCCCACCUACAUUCCCUUAGCAGCCCAUUGUUCCGGAUGACCAAGGCUAUGAGGGUGUUGAAGUCCAUGGGCAGCUCCCAGGCUGCAAACUCAUCUUUAAUCACCUCUGAUAAUCCGUGAAGCAACGCGUUGAACAGGGUUUUUGGUUUCCAGGCACUCUCAGCCGCCAACGUACGAAAAUCCUUUGCGUAGUCUGCCACACUACGUGAGUCCUGACAUAGUUGGAGCAGCUAGCGAACAGCCUUUCUCCCAGACAACGGAGAAUCAACCACUUCACUUACCUCCUCCACAAACUCCUCCAGACUGAGGCAAACGGUGGACUGUUGCUCCCACUCAGCUGUAGCCCAGGCGAGUGCCCUCCUGGACAUCAGCCUUGUCCAAUACGCUAUCUUCGAGCGGUCCGAGGUGAACGAAGAUGGCUUCAGCUCGAAGAUAAAGGAGUACAGGGAGAGAAACGCCCGGCAGGUUCCAGAAUCUCCAGCAUAACGCUCCGGAGGAGGAAAGCGAGAUUCUCGGGACACCAGGGUAGGUUGGGAUAGAAGAGCCACUGGUGGCGGGGUUCCUGAGAGUCUGGGGGAUUACUGUUUUGGCUUGCUGCCUAGUAGGGAAUCCGCGGAAUUGCUCCAGCAAUGUAUCGAAUGCAUGGUCAUGGCGUUCUGCCAAGGUAUUGAGACACUCCAUAAGGCAUUGCUGUAACUCCUUGUGUCUUCCAAUGGUGGCUCCUUGGAAGGAGACAGCGUUACAGAGCUGGCCCGAAUCUGCUGGGUCAGUCAUGGCCAGUUUGUACUAUCACGGCUCAGGCUAAGACCCAGAUGCAGUCACAGGAGGUGUAUAGUACGAGUCUCAGAGUUUAUUAUAGUAUAAGGGGCAGGCAAAAUGUAGGUCAAGGCAGGCAAAGAGUCGUAAUCCAAAUCAGAGUCAGGCAGGUACAGGACGGCAGGCAGGAUCAGGACAGGCAGAAAUGCCAGAACUGGAGCACAGGAACACACUGGCCGGACUUGACGGGACAAGACGAACUGGCAACAGACAAACAGAAAAUGCAGGAGAAAAUGGGGACAAAUGGGAGACACUUGCUGGGAGGUGGAGACAAGUACAAGACAGGUGAAACAGAUCAGGGUGUGACAGUAGGCCAAAAGAACAAUGUACAAAGAACAAAAAUAGAAAUGCAAAAGUUUAUUUCUCUCAAUUUUUGUGCACAAAUUUGUUUACAUCACUGUUAGUGAGCAUUUCUCCUUUGCCAAGAUAAUCAAUCGACCUGACAGGUGUGGCAAAUGAAGAAGCUGAAUAAACAGCAUGAUCAUCACACAGUUACACCUUGUGUCACACAACAUUGUGUUGUGUCACACAACACAAUGCCACAUAUGUCUCAAGUUUUGAGGGAGUGUGCAAUUGACAUGCUGACUACAGGAAUGUCCACCAGAGCUGUUGCCAGAUGGUUGAAUGUUAAUUUUUAUACCAUAAGCCGCCUCCAACGUCGUUUUAGAGAAUUUGGCAGUACGUCCAACAGGCCUCACAACCACAGACCACGUAUAACCACGCCAGCCCAGGACCUCCACAUCCGGCAUCUUUACCUGUGGGAUCGUCUGAGACCAGCCACCCAGACAGCUGAUGAAAUUGUUGGUUUGCACAACCGAUCCAUUUCUGCACAAACUGUCAGAAACCAUCUCAGGGAAGCUCAUCUGCAUGCUCGUCGUCCUCACCAGGGUCUUGACCUGACUGCAGUUCGGCGUCGUAACCAACUUCAGUGUCUAAAUGCUCACCUUCGAUGGCUACUGGCACGCUGGAGAAGUGUGCUCUUCACAGAUGAAUCCCUGUUUCAACUGUACUUGGCAGAUGGCAGACAGCAUGUAUGGCGUCGUGUGGGCGAGCAGUUUGCUGAUGUCAACGUUGUGAACAGAGUUCCCCAUGGUCGCGGUGGCGUUAUGGAAUGGGCAGGCAUAAGCUACGGACAGCUAACACAAUUACAUUUUAUUGAUGGCAAUUUGAAUGCACAGAUACUGUGACGAGAUCCUGAGGCCCAUUGUCGUGCCAUUCAUCCGCCGCCAUCGCCUCAUAUUUCAGCAUGAUAAUGCACAGCUCCAUGUCGCAAGGAUCUGUACACAAUUCCGGGAAGCUGAAAAUGUCCCAGUUGUUCCAUGGCCUGCAUACUCACCAGACAUGUCACCCAUUAAGCAUGUUUGGGAUGAUGCUCUGGAUUGACGUGUACGACAGUGUGUUCCAGUUCCCGACAAUAUCCAGCAACUUUGCACAGUCAUUGAAGAUGAGUGGAACAACAUUCCACAGGCCACAAUCAACAGCCUGAUCAAUUCUAUACGAAGGAGAUGUGUCACGCUGCAUGAGGCAAACGUUGGUCACACCGGUUUUCUGAUCCUCACCACUUACCUUUUUUUUUUAAAGAUAUGUGUUACCAACAGAUGCAUAUAUGUAUUCCCAGUCAUGUGAAAUCCAUAGAUUAGGGCCUAAUGAAUUCAAUUCACUUGACUGAUUUCCUUAUAUGAACUGCUUUUAUAUUUUUGCUCAGUGUAAGUUGACCAUAUAAGAAGCUUGACUGAUUUCUCUGUUACAAGUCAGCGAAACACUAUAGGCUUUUUACAGGUAUGGUAGGCCUAGUAAAAUGUGAAGUGAACUAGGGGGGCUGCCAAUAUGGCUACGCUUCAGUGCUGGUCUCAGAUCACUUCAAUGUGGAGGUUAGAUGUUUUCUUUCUUCAUCGUCACUUUUCACGUAGCCUAGACUUAUCUUUCUCCGAUGCUUGUCUGUCUGUCUUACCCAAUUUCACCAGGGAUAGGUAACAUGCACCUGUUGCAACAUUGUAGCAGCUGCUGCAAUUCACUGUUUUUAUUUCAAUGAACAAUUACACCAGACAGAUCAAUUAUUUAUAAUAAGUCUUGGUGAUUGACUUUCUAAACUCUACUGGUAUUAUUUUUGGUCCAUUAUUGAAUAUGUUUAUUAAAUUAUAUUCUUAGCUAGAAAUAGUAUACAUAUUUUUCAUUGUAAUUAUCUUUUUAUUAGAAUGUUGUUUCAUUUUAACAGGGGUUACAUAGUCUGUCUGAUGCACUUUGUUUGGUUGUCUAAGUACAAUAAAGUAUUAAGGAUACAGCAAAACAUUAUACAAAAAGGCAGUCAAAAACACAAAAAAACAUCACAAUUAUAACAUGGGGCAUUUAUGGGAGGUUUUCUACAUACUGUAGGACCACAAUGGAGACCAGAUUUUCCAAAAUGUAUCAGACCUCUGGUGUAAAUUUAAGGUACGUUUCUCUAGAGGUAGGAUAGCAGAAGCUUGAGAAAAUUCUCGCAGAUGGUACUUCAUGUGUCGACCACAAUAGCAAUAUACAUUUUUUGGGCUAAGUAAACAAGGGUAUUGAACAGACGUUCAGAGUCUGGGUGAAACAGAACGUUACAAUCAAAGUAGAGCAAAUAUACAUUUGGUAAAAAAGCUCAUUUUCUACCCAAGAUUUUCUGGAUGUGUAAAUGAAUAUCAUUCCAAUAGUACUAGAUUCUGCUAUAGUACCAAACAUCGUGCAUGGAAAUAGUAUUUUUUAUUAGUGGCAAUAAUUCAUAAAUGGCACCAUACAGGGUUCUAUAUGGAACACAUGCUGUUCAGUUAAGAAGAACCCUUGUGAUUCUAUAUUUGUUUCAGUGAAAGAGUGAAGGUCUAUUAAUGGAGUCAUUCUGUCAAUCUAAACGACAAGUGGCAAUGUAAAUAAAUUACUUUGGUCAA